ensembl:lncRNA
CAGACUUUCAUACUUGCCUUGGUCCCUCCUCUCCCAAUUCUCAUCCCCACUGUGUCACGGGACUUAGCAGAGGCGGAGAGUUGGAGAGGAGGAGAUACAGUCCCGCAGAUCUCUCUCCUCCUCUACAAAUAAAGGGUUCUUUUUCCUAGCUCCCACCUGGAGGAGGGAGAAGCCCACGCUCAAUCCAGUCUAGCUUUGCUGGCCCCGCCAGCUCCACGUCUCUGGCUCUCGCUGCAUCCAGUCGCCUUGGCGUUGGCCGAGAUAGGGCUGGUGUUAGAUGCGAGGCCGGUAGAAGGAGGCCGGACGGAAUGUAUUUUGGUUUCCCCCAAUCUCUUGCUGACCGGGAAACACGAGUGGGCUCAGAAUGCUACGUAGCCCAAGUGGCCCGUAAAGGUUGAGAGCUCAGGGACCUUAAACGCCUUCCAUUUCGCCCAUUUUACAGGUAAGAAAAUUUAAGCUCGUAGUAAUAAGGUCGCAGCCAGACCCCAGUUGUCGGAAGUGAAAUUUCGGAUUUGGAAACUUUUCUAUGGGCUCCAGCCUCUUUCAAGAGGGCUCAGUUUUUAUGGAAGAGCAGGGAUGCAGAACAGCAGUAUUAUAAAGUCUGUGAGUUCAUACAUGUAAGGAGUUCCCGGCACCAAUACAGAGUUGCAGUCCAGUCUUAGAGAGUAGUCUGGGGAACUGAGAGGUUAAAAAAUACCCGGGUUUACACAGCCCUUCUGUAUCAGAAAGAGGACUUGAAGUCCGACCUGACUCCCAGGCCAGCUCUGAUCCACUCUUCUAUGCUGCCCACUCAUCUACUGUGGUGACGAAGGUGUCGGGGCUUAAUAAGGGAACAUGAACCCAGGUUUCCUGACUCUUGGCUUAUUUUCACUGCUACGGGGCUUUUUCUAGAGCCUAAUUCUGUUAGGGUAGCAUCUUUCCUUCCUUAAAGCUGGCUCUGUAGGCCACAGAAGAAAGUUGGUUUCUUGGGACUUUCCUGUAUCUGCUAAUAGAAAACUAGUUGAGAAUCUUCUGUGUUUUUAGUAGCUUGAAAGCACCCUCACCCCCACAAUAGGUGGGAAGUUACUGUUGUAGGACAGCUAUCGAUUAAAGCUUUUAUGGAUCUGGGCUUUGGGAGAUAGAUCAAUAGAUAUGAUCGAAAGAUAGGCACAGAAACACACAGAUAGAUGAUAGACAAGGGACAGUUAUUCAUUUGGGUCUGACUCUUUGUGACGCCAUUUGGAGUUUUCUUGGACCAAGAUGCUGGAGUGAGUUGCCAUUUCCUUCUCCAGUUCAUUUUAUAUAUGAGGAAAUUGAGGCAAACAGGGUUAACUGACUUGCCCAGGGUCAUACAGCUAGGAAGCAUCUGAGGCCAGAUUUGAAUUCAGGAAGAUGCAUCUUCCUGUUCAGCGCUCUAUCCACUGUGCCACCUAACUACUAGAUAGAUAGAUAGAUAGAUAGAUAGAUAGAUAGAUAGAUAGAAGAAAGAACAUUUUCUAUCUGUCUGUUUAUUUAGAACACUUAGUAGAUGUCAGGCACUGUGUUAAGUUCUAAGGAAAUAAAUAAAAACAAACAAGAUAGUCCCUAUCCA